GACAUACUCCCUUCGUCCGGAAAUACUUGUCGUAGGAAUGAAUGUAUCUAGAUGUAUUUUAGUUUUAGAUACAUUUUUUUAUGCAUUUAUGAGACAAGUAAUUUCAAACGGAGGGAGUAUGUG
rnacentral:pre_miRNA from 1 species